CUACGUGCCAGCAGCCGCGGUAAUACGGAAGGUCCAGGCGUUAUCCGGAUUUAUUGGGUUUAAAGGGAGCGUAGGCUGGAGAUUAAGUGUGUUGUGAAAUGUAGACGCUCAACGUCUGAAUUGCAGCGCAUACUGGUUUCCUUGAGUACGCACAACGUUGGCGGAAUUCGUCGUGUAGCGGUGAAAUGCUUAGAUAUGACGAAGAACUCCGAUUGCGAAGGCAGCUGACGGGAGCGCAACUGACGCUGAAGCUCGAAGGUGCGGGUAUCGAACAGGAUUAGAUACCCUGGUAGUCCGCACAGUAAACGAUGGAUGCCCGCUGUUAGCGCCUGGCGUUAGCGGCUAAGCGAAAGCAUUAAGCAUCCCACCUGGGGAGUACGCCGGCAACGGUGAAACUCAAAGGAAUUGACGGGGGCCCGCACAAGCGGAGGAACAUGUGGUUUAAUUCGAUGAUACGCGAGGAACCUUACCCGGGCUUGAAUUGCAGAGGAAUUAUUUGGAGAUA
rnacentral:rRNA from 1 species